rnacentral:lncRNA from 1 species
GAAAAUAUCUGAUGAGGUCUCAAGGCUGCAUCUGAAGACCUUAUUGGUUUUUACCCCAGACUCGUUCCUUUCUAACCAUUGGUCUUUUCAGAAUUGAUUCCUUACUCUCCUUUCAUCUCCAGCUGCUGCUUUCCCUGAUGUUUUGGAUCUCGUAAAGAUGCCAGUAGUUCUAAAGACCAUGCAUGGCCAAGUGUGUACCUUCUUCCUUGCAUCAAGAUGAGGAAGCCUAGGAAAGACAGAGCCACCCAAUGGAGAGGCCUCAAGAAGAAGUUCAGCCCAAGAGGCAGAAUCCAGUGUCUGCAGGGUUCAAGGCUAUAGAGAAAGGAAGUGGUCCAGGCAAGCUGUCAACAUCAGGAGCAUAACACAAAUUGGCAGAGCAGGACCUUUUUCUCCUCCUUCCUUUGGACAUCAGACUCCAGGUUCUUCAGCUUGCAGACUCUGGGACUUGCCCCAGCAGCCUCCCAAGGGGGCUCUUGGGCCUGAGGCCUGCACUGUCAGCUUCCCUGGUUCUAAGGCUUUGGACAGAAACUGAGCCACACUACCAGCUUGGAGCCAUGCUAUCGCUUCUAAGAUUCUCCAGCCUGCACUUGGCCUAUUGUGGGACUUCGUCUCUGUGACUCCGUGAGCCAAUUCCUCCUAAUAAAUCUCCUUCCGUUUAUCCUACUGAUUGUAUCUCUGGAGAACACUGAGUAAUGCAGGUACCCUUGGGCAGUAAACAACCUGUCAAACAAUACCCAGCAGACUUGGAAGGCACAGUGACUUCACAGAGAGAAGAUUGUACUGGAAAGGCCUAGAAUUGAGGGCAAUGGAAGGGUUUUCUUUCUCCCCUCUAAUGUAUAACCAAGCUUCCUACUCAAACCCUAUGUGAUAAAAAAGGAGAAUCAAGCGGAACCUGCAUCAGUAUCUAAUCAACAGACUUUUUUCCCUCCUAGAAAGGGCAUUUAAAUAUCAAUUCAAGCUAAGAAAACUGAGAAACUCCAGAAUAAAUGCUUUGGCAAAAACAUUUGUAUUCCACAACUUUCUUUUCAUAGUCAAGUUAUGUUCCUUCUUUGUUUUUUUCCAGGCCUUCCUAGCAGAGUUUUUGCUGUCUCUGACCAAGCUGAAGGGUACUUCUUGCUGCCACCAUGUGAAGAAAGAUGUAUUUGCUUUCCUUUCCACCAUGACUCAAUUUUCCUUUCUGCUGCCAUGUGAAGAAGGAUGUGUUUGCUUCCCCUUCCACCAUGAUUGUAAGUAUCCUGAGGCCUCCCCAGCCAGGCUGAACUGUGAGUCAAUUAAAUCUCUU